UACGUAGGGGGCAAGCGUUAUCCGGAAUUACUUGGGCGUAAAGGGUGAGUAGGCGGUCAUAUAAGUCAUAUGUGGAAGCCCUGGUCUUAAGCCAGGGAGUGCAUAAGAAACUGUAAGACUAGAGUACAGGAGAGGUAAGUGGAAUUCCUAGUGUAGCGGUGAAAUGCGUAGAUAUUAGGAGGAACACCAGUGGCGAAGGCGACUUACUGGACUGAAACUGACGCUGAGUCACGAAAGCGUGGGGAGCAAACAGG
rnacentral:rRNA from 1 species